rnacentral:tRNA from 1 species
GCCUCAUUGGCUCAGGGUAAGAGGGUCUGUCCAGUAAACAGAUGGUCACUGGUUCGAUUCCAGCAUGAGGCA